UCUUAAGUUGAACUGCAUUAUCUGGAUUGGAGCAUGCCCGCACCGGAUCCAAAUUUCCAACUUAUUUAGGUAAUUAAUCAAAGGUUAUCCCAAUUUCCCAAAACAAGACAUGAAAGGCAGUGGAUAAACGCAUGAGAUUGGUUUCUACUAAGACGCCAAUAAUGGUGUUCCCAGAAGAUUGAAAGAAAAAGAGGCAGAAAAGGGCACUUCCUCUGAGUGAAGAAGUCAUUGGACUUCCACAAACAUCAUCAUUCUUCCGUAAGACCGCUCCUUCAUCUGCGUGUCUGGUUUGUCUCUUUUCUGUUUGAUGUAAUGCCCCACCGAGGUGUUAGAAGCAAAGCUCUUUUAAGACAAUUUUUAUUGUAUUUACGCCUGCCAUUUGUGAAUGAGGUUACGUUCAAUAGUAAUGAUAAUGCAUUUCGCUACUUACAAUGGCGAUUGAUGACUACCAGCAAAAGGGUUCAAGAGAGGAGCAAGAGAAAACGUGUCCAUGAUCUUGAGGUGGCUCUGGAAAAGCACAAAGUACUGUCCAAGAUUCUAUUUUUCUUUGAAAUUUUAAAGCAAGAGCCUGAACAAAUCGUGCCCAUUAAAAGUUUAGAUAGGUACAGAAGGCAAAUUAACCUCCCUAAACCCCAUAAACUAUCAGCUUUUCUUCGGAAAUCGCCUAAGCUUUUCGAGCUGUACAAGGAUCAGAGAGGGGUCUUGUGGUGUGGGAUGACGAAAAUGGCUGAGGAAUUAGUGGAGGAAGAGGGAAGAAUUAUUGAGGAGAAUAGCGAUAAGGCUGCUGAAUAUGUUACUAGGAUGUUGAUGAUGUCAGUAGAUAAACGACUUCCAUUGGAGAAGAUUGCACAUUUUAGGAGGGAUAUAGGGUUGCCAGUGGAUUUUAGGAGCCGUUGGGUGCAUAGAUAUCCUGAAAAUUUUAGAGUCGUGCGGCCGUUUAAACCGUAUGAUGAGGGGGAAUAUUUGGAACUUGUUGAGUGGAAGUCUAGUUGGGCAAUAACAGAAUUGGAGAAGAAGUCAGGGAUGGUUGAGGAGUUGAGUGGUGGCGAUCACGUUCCAGGGCUGCUUUCGCUGUCGUUUCCUAUGAAGUUUCCUCCUAAUUAUAAAAAGGUCUUGUCACGAUAUUAUCCACAAAUUGGGAAUUUUCAGAAGAGAGAAUAUUUGUCUCCGUAUGCAGAUGCUAGAGAUCUGAAAGCUGGCUCACAAGAAUUUGAUAAGAGGGCUGUGGCAGUUAUGCAUGAGCUACUGAGUUUUACAACUGAAAAGAGGGUGGUAACUGAUCAUUUGACACACUUUAGAAGAGAAUUUGUGAUGCCUCAAAAGUUGAUGCGAUUGUUGCUGAAGCAUUUUGGUAUCUUUUAUGUUUCGGAGAGGGGGAGGAGGUUUAGUGUCUUUCUCAAUGAGGCCUAUGAAGGUUCAGAAUUGAUAGAAAAGCAUCCCUUGGUUGUUUGGAGGGAAAAAGUCAAUGGACUUAUAGAUUACAGAAAGAAAAAGAAGAGAAUUGGGACUGUUGAAGUUUUACAUGAUAUAGAUGAUAAGGACCUGUUUGAGAGUGAGUCUGAGAAUGACAGUAUCUUGUUGGAUCAUGAACAGGAGGAGACCAUGGGUAAUCUAGAGGAUGCUUCACCUGCAGACAGUUCAGAGAUGGAGAUUGAAGAGAUUUAUGCGGCAUACCAGGACUGAAACUUCACGAGUUUAUAGGAAUUGUUCACUCAGGAACUUUAAGGUUGUUAAAAUGAUGAAAUGACCGUGAAUGGAGAACAGUCAACUGCAUUAUUCAAUGGGUAAAGUGCUGAAUCCACGAGAGGAGACUAUAUGGUGCAGGGUAUGAGACGCACAGGACUUCAAAAGGCAAUGUUGUUGCAAGUUGCCGACUCAGGCUGAGAAAUUACUCACCUCAGCUUUAAUAUGUUACCAUUUAGCUCCGUCCUUGGGUCUUAAUUGGCCUCCAGCUUUUGUAACUUUUAGCUCAGAAGUCCGUAGGGAAGAGAAUCUCGGUAGUUUUGGUUGGUGUCCAGGAGUCCAAACUAGAAGUACACAUUGCAAAUCCUCAAAACAAUCUCCCCCCCCCCCCCCCCCACCCAAAGAAACCCCCAACCCGCACGCACACACACACACACAACCACCACAAAAACCGUAGACGAAGAAAUAGAUGGCGUAGUGUUUUCAAUUUCUGGCUCUGGAGAGUGUGUGAGUUGCAUAGAGAUUUAUUAUUUUGCUUGUCAUUAAUGGCUUUGACCUUGAGAGUAGACGUCAACGGAGUGGGGAUUCAACCGAAUCAACUCAAGGCCUCCAUAUUUUCUUGGGCCUUGUUCUGUGUGUAUUAAUUCUUUUAACCUAUUAAUCCUAUGAAUCACACAAUAUUGUAGUAGGAUGACGCA